UGGGGAAUAUUGGACAAUGGGCGAAAGCCUGAUCCAGCCAUGCCGCGUGAGUGAUGAAGGCCCUAGGGUUGUAAAGCUCUUUUAACGGGGAAGAUAAUGACGGUACCCGUAGAAUAAGCCCCGGCUAACUUCGUGCCCGCAGCCGCGGUAAUACGAAGGGGGCUAGCGUUGCUCGGAAUCAAUGGGCGUAAAGCGCACGUAGGCGGACUCUUAAGUCGGUGGUGAAAUCCUGGAGCUCAACUCCAGAACUGCCUUCGAUACUGGGAGUCUCGAGUACGGGAGAGGUUAGUGCAACUGCGAGUGUAGAGGUGAAAUUCGUAGAUAUUCGCAAGAACACCAGUGGCGAAGGCGGCUCACUGGCCCGAUACUGACGCUGAGGUGCGAAAGCGUGGGGAGCAAACA
rnacentral:rRNA from 1 species